UGGAUCCAGACUUUGAUUAUGGCCAGGAUGAACGCUAGCUACAGGCUUAACACAUGCAAGUCGAGGGGAAACGACAUCGAAAGCUUGCUUUUGACGGGCGUCGACCGGCGCACGGGUGAGUAACGCGUAUCCAACCUGCCCACCACUUGGGGAUAACCUUGCGAAAGUAAGACUAAUACCCAAUGAUAUCUCUAGAAGACAUCUGAAAGAGAUUAAAGAUUUAUCGGUGAUGGAUGGGGAUGCGUCUGAUUAGCUUGUUGGCGGGGUAACGGCCCACCAAGGCGACGAUCAGUAGGGGUUCUGAGAGGAAGGUCCCCCACAUUGGAACUGAGACACGGUCCAAACUCCUACGGGAGGCAGCAGUGAGGAAUAUUGGUCAAUGGGCGAGAGUCUGAACCAGCCAAGUAGCGUGCAGGAUGACGGCCCUAUGGGUUGUAAACUGCUUUUAUAAGGGAAUAAAGUGAGUCUCGUGAGAUUUUUUGCAUGUACCUUAUGAAUAAGGACCGGCUAAUUCCGUGCCAGCAGCCGCGGUAAUACGGAAGGUCCGGGCGUUAUCCGGAUUUAUUGGGUUUAAAGGGAGCGUAGGCCGGAGAUUAAGCGUGUUGUGAAAUGUAGACGCUCAACGUCUGCACUGCAGCGCGAACUGGUUUCCUUGAGUACGCACAAAGUGGGCGGAAUUCGUGGUGUAGCGGUGAAAUGCUUAGAUAUCACGAAGAACUCCGAUUGCGAAGGCAGCUCACUGGAGCGCAACUGACGCUGAAGCUCGAAAGUGCGGGUAUCGAACAGGAUUAGAUACCCUGGUAGUCCGCACGGUAAACGAUGGAUGCCCGCUGUUGGUCUGAAUAGGUCAGCGGCCAAGCGAAAGCAUUAAGCAUCCCACCUGGGGAGUACGCCGGCAACGGUGCAACUCAAAUGAAUUGACGGA
rnacentral:rRNA from 1 species